AGCAGCCGCGGUAAUUCCAGCUCCAAUAGCGUAUAUUAAAGUUGUUGCAGUUAAAAAGCUCGUAGUUGAAUUUCGGGGUCAGCAGGUCGGUCGUGCCAAUGGUAUGCACUGGCCUUGCUGAUUCCUCCCUCUUGAUGAGCCGUAAUGCCAUUAAUUUGGUGUUGCGGGGAAUCAGGACUGUUACUUUGAAAAAAUUAGAGUGUUUAAAGCAGGCAAGCGCUUGAAUACAUUAGCAUGGAAUAAUGAAAUAGGACGUUCGAUCCUAUUUUGUUGGUUUCUAGGAUUGACGUAAUGAUUAAUAGGGAUAGUUGGGGGCAUUAGUAUUCAAUUGUCAGAGGUGAAAUUCUUGGAUUUAUUGAAGACUAACUACUGCGAAAGCAUUUGCCAAGGAUGUUUUCAUUAAUCAAGAACGAAAGUUAGGGGAUCGAAGACGAUCAGAUACCGUCGUAGUCUUAACCAUAAACUAUGCCGACUAGGGAUCGGAUGAUGUAAUUUUUAUGACUCAUUC
rnacentral:sRNA from 1 species